rnacentral:rRNA from 1 species
CGGCUAACUACGUGCCAGCAGCCGCGGUAAUACGUAGGUCCCGAGCGUUGUCCGGAUUUAUUGGGCGUAAAGCGAGCGCAGGYGGUUUAUUAAGUCUGGUGUAAAAGGCAGUGGCUCAACCAUUGUAUGCAUUGGAAACUGGUARACUUGAGUGCAGGAGAGGAGAGUGGAAUUCCWUGUGUAGCGGUGAAAUGCGUAGAUAUWWGGAGGAACACCRGUGGCGAARGCGGCUNDCUGGNCUGUAACUGACRCUGAGGCUCGAAAGCGUGGGGAGCRAACAGGAUUAGAUACC